GACACGUGGCCCAUCACUCGUAGACAUCUUUUGUGUACCUUUAUUAUGCCUUCAGCUCUCUCUUCAGAGCUUUCUUCGACAAGGCAGAAUCGUAAUUUCCUGAGCAUAAUCCGAGGAAAGAAGAAGACCAUUUUCAAUAAUUUCUCGAGAAAAUACAAAAAGAUUGUAUUUUUACUAAAAAAAGGAAGAACGAGGUUUCUUGAAUUUGGCUCUGCAAACGAGAACCUCAUUGCUUUAACACCUAUUGAUGGUUUCUGAUUGAGUGAGGGAUGAGAGAGACGGAGGGUUUGAAUUCGAGCUUUGAGAAAUUGAUGGUUUUUGGCGUUGCUGAGAGUGGUGGUGUGAGGAUAACAGAGUGGAAGGAUAUUCCAGUGGAGCUUUUGCUGAGGAUAUUUUGUCACUGGUGGAUGAUCAAACGGUGAUUGUGGCUUCUGGGGUUUGUCAUGGAUGGAGGGAUGCAAUUUCUUCAUUAGCAUUAAAGAUUCUGUUUUCUGGAUGAUGUAUCCCUUUUUGGUUUUGCUCAAGUUUGAAGUUUGGAAAUGAAAAUUUUAUGUUUUUGCUGAAUUUUUAUACUCAAAAGUUGAAUUUUUGUAUGUAAAAAAAGGUGGAAUCUGUUGUGUUGA